UACGUAGGGGGCAAGCGUUGUCCGGAUUCAUUGGGCGUAAAGAGCGUGUAGGCGGCCAGGUAGGUCGGUUGUGAAAACUGGAGGCUCAACCUUCAGAGGUCGACCGAAACCAUCUGGCUAGAGUCCGGGAGAGGAGAGUGGAAUUCCUGGUGUAGCGGUGAAAUGCGUAGAUAUUGGGAGGAACACCGGUGGCGAAGGCGGCUCUCUGGACCGGUACUGACGCUGAGACGCGAAAGCCAGGGGAGCAAACGAG
rnacentral:rRNA from 1 species